rnacentral:rRNA from 1 species
UAAUACAGAGGUGGCAAGCGUUGUUCGGAAUUACUGGGCGUAAAGGGCGCGUAGGCGGCCUUCUUAGUCAGACGUGGAAUCCCCGGGCUUAACUCGGGAACUGCGUCUGAUACUGGAAGGCUGGAGUUCGGGAGAGGAAUGUGGAAUUCCAGGUGUAGCGGUGAAAUGCGUAGAUAUCUGGAGGAACACCGGUGGCGAAGGCGGCAUUCUGGACCGAAACUGACGCUGAGGCGCGAAAGCCAAGGGAGCAAACGGGA